rnacentral:lncRNA from 1 species
AUGUUACAUUUUCAAUACAUCGUUCUGAAAUGCCAAAGGCCAUCGGUCUCAACGGCGAGUGUCUGUUGCUGUCAGAGUGGUCUGUUGUGUGUCUGUUAUCAUAGUGGUCUGUUGUGUGUCUGUUGUCAUAGUGGUCUGUUGUGUGUCUGUUGUCAGAGUGGUCUGUUGUGUGUCUGUUGUCAGAGUGGUCUGUUAUGUGUCUGUUGUCAGAGUGGUCUGUUGUGUGUCUGUUGUCAGAGUGGUCUGUUGUGUGUCUGUUGUCAGAGUGGUCUGUUAUGUGUUUGUUGUCAGAGUGGUCUGUUGUGUGUCUGUUGUCAGAGUGGUCUGUUGUGUGUCUGUUGUCAGAGUGGUCUGUUGUGUGUCUGUUGUCAGAGUGGUCUGUUGUGUGUCUGUUGCUGUCAGAGUGGUCUGUUGUGUGUCUGUUGUCAGAGUGGUCUGUUAUGUGUCUGUUGUCAUAGUGGUCUGUUGUGUGUCUGUUGUCAGAGUGGUCUGUUGUGUGUCUGUUGUCAGAGUGGUCUGUUGUGUGUCUGUUGCUGUCAGAGUGGUCUGUUGUGUGUCUGUUGUCAGAGUGGUCUGUUGUGUGUCUGUUGUCAGAGUGGUCUGUUGUGUGUCUGUUGUCAGAGUGGUCUGUUAUGUGUCUGUUGUCAGAGUGGUCUGUUGUGUGUCUGUUGUCAGAGUGGUCUGUUGUGUGUCUGUUGUCAGAGUGGUCUGUUAUGUGUUUGUUGUCAGAGUGGUCUGUUGUGUGUCUGUUGUCAGAGUGGUCUGUUGUGUGUCUGUUGUCAGAGUGGUCUGUUGUGUGUCUGUUGUCAGAGUGGUCUGUUGUGUGUCUGUUGCUGUCAGAGUGGUCUGUUGUGUGUCUGUUGUCAGAGUGGUCUGUUAUGUGUCUGUUGUCAUAGUGGUCUGUUGUGUGUCUGUUGUCAGAGUGGUCUGUUGUGUGUCUGUUGUCAGAGUGGUCUGUUGUGUGUCUGUUGCUGUCAGAGUGGUCUGUUGUGUGUCUGUUGUCAGAGUGGUCUGUUAUGUGUCUGUUGUCAGAGUGGUCUGUUGUGUGUCUGUUGUCAAAGUGGUCUGUUGUGUGUCUGUUGUCAGAGUGGUCUGUUGUGUGUCUGUUGUCAGAGUGGUCUGUUGUGUGUCUGUUGUCAGAGUGGUCUGUUGUGUGUCUGUUGUCAGAGUGGUCUGUUGUGUGUCUGUUGUCAGAGUGGUCUGUUGUGUGUCUGUUGUCAGAGUGGUCUGUUGUGUGUCUGUUGUCAGAGUGGUCUGGUAUGUGUUUGUUGUCAGAGUGGUCUGUUGUGUGUCUGUUGUCAGAGUGGUCUGUUAUGUGUCUGUUGUUUUCAGAAUCCAGUAGAGUCCAGUCAAGAGUCCAGUAGAGACAGUAGAGACCAGUAG